rnacentral:rRNA from 1 species
UACGUAGGUGGCAAGCGUUGUCCGGAUUUACUGGGCGUAAAGGGAGCGUAGGUGGACAUUUAAGUGGGAUGUGAAAUACUCGGGCUUAACCUGAGUGCUGCAUUCCAAACUGAAUAUCUAGAGUGCAGGAGAGGAAAGUAGAAUUCCUAGUGUAGCGGUGAAAUGCGUAGAGAUUAGGAAGAAUACCAGUGGCGAAGGCGACUUUCUGGACUGUAACUGACACUGAGGCUCGAAAGCGUGGGGAGCAAACAGG